GUAGGGAAUAUUGCACAAUGGGCGCAAGCCUGAUGCAGCAACGCCGCGUGCCCGAUGAAGGCCUUCGGGUUGUAAAGGGCUUUUCUGGAGGAAGAGGAAGGACGGUACUCCAGGAAGAAGGAUCGGCUAACUACGUGCCAGCAGCCGCGGUAACACGUAGGAUCCGAGCGUUAUCCGAAUUUACUGGGCGUAAAGCGCAUGCAGGCGGCUGGGUAAGUUGGACGUGAAAGCUCCUGGCUCAACUGGGAGAGGUCGUUCAAGACUGCCUGGCUAGAGGGCGGUAGAGGGAGGUGGAAUUCCCGGUGUAGUGGUGAAAUGCGUAGAGAUCGGGAGGAACACCAGUGGCGAAAGCGGCCUCCUGGGCCGCACCUGACGCUCAGAUGCGAAAGCUAGGGGAGCGAACGGGAUUAGAAACCCUAGUAGUCC
rnacentral:rRNA from 1 species